UACGUAGGGUGCAAGCGUUGUCCGGAAUUAUUGGGCGUAAAGAGCUCGUAGGCGGUCUGUCGCGUCGGCUGUGAAAACUCGGGGCUCAACUCCGAGCUUGCAGUCGAUACGGGCAGGCUAGAGUUCGGCAGGGGAGACUGGAAUUCCUGGUGUAGCGGUGGAAUGCGCAGAUAUCAGGAGGAACACCGGUGGCGAAGGCGGAUCUCUGGGCCAUAACUGACGCUGAGGAGCGAAAGCAUGGGGAGCGAACAGG
rnacentral:rRNA from 1 species